rnacentral:tRNA from 1 species
GGCGACGUAGCCAAGCGGUAAGGCAGAGGUCUGCAAAACCUUUAUUCGCCGGUUCGAGUCCGGCCGUCGCCU